rnacentral:rRNA from 1 species
GAUGAACGCUAGCUACAGGCUUAACACAUGCAAGUCGAGGGGUAACGAGAGGGAAGCUUGCUUUCCUUGUCGACGACCGGCGGAUGGGUGAGUAACGCGUAUCCAACCUGCCCUUCAGUAAGGGAUAGCCUUUCGAAAGAAAGAAUAAUACCUUAUGUGGUCGUCAGAAGACAUCAGACGACGAUCAAAGAUUUAUCGCUGAAGGAUGGGGAUGCGUCCCAUUAGGCAGUAGGCGGGGUAACGGCCCACCUAACCUACGAUGGGUAGGGGUUCUGAGAGGAAGGUCCCCCACAUUGGAACUGAGACACGGUCCAAACUCCUACGGGAGGCAGCAGUGAGGAAUAUUGGUCAAUGGCCGUAAGGCUGAACCAGCCAAGUAGCGUGCAGGAUGACGGCUCUAUGGGUUGUAAACUGCUUUUAAACGGGGAUAAAGUGAGCCACGUGUGGUUUAUUGCAGGUACCGUUUGAAUAAGGACCGGCUAAUUCCGUGCCAGCCGCCGCCGUAA